AGCCCUCGGUUAUACAGCAACAUUGAGAAGUUGCUCUUGCUCGAUUAUGUAAAGGAGAUUAUGCGACUGCUGUGUACGACUUCUGAAACGGGUAAUGCUAGUGCUGAGCUGCUGAAGACGGUUGUGCUCUCAGGCACCAAAACAUUCGGAUCUGAAAUCCUAAACGGAAGUGAGACGCCCAAUCGGUGAUCCACCGCUUCCCCGUCGGUACCAUGUCCGCUGGAAGCGAGAGGCCGUACGCCUUCUCGCCCCCGUCGGCGGUCCCGGGCCCCUUCUCCCGCGGCUCCGGCUCCGCUCCCACCACGGCCGCGACAGAUAGCACUGGGAGGAGCUCGUCCUCCGUGGCGCCGACGAAGAGCCGAAAGCCACCGUUCCGGCCCGCCGUGGACGACACAAAGCCCGUCCUCCGCGAUCCGAUAUCACGCUCGGACCUGGCGGUCACCGAGCAGGUCGUGCUGCGGCUGCCGCCGUUCCCCUAAGUUCGCGCCACCCAAUGUUCUUUGCUCAACCAUAUUAAUCUAAAGAUGGUGCCCUUUCUGCGCAUGUUCGUCAACUCGACAGUUUGUCAAUUGGAAACUUUGCCCGUCUAAUUAUGGUUCUGGACCAUUAGUGGUUUUUGUAUUCAAUUAGUAAACUGAGUUAUAUAGAAGUAAUGAUAAUUGGUUAUCUACAUACAUGUUUGAUUUACCCUGGUAAAUCAGGGUUAAAUUACUAGUAUAAGAAUUUACACAA